GCCAUCAGAGCUCCCGUCCGUGGAACUCUUUCAGGCCCCUUUGAUCCCCUGCAGAGCCCAGUGGUGCCCUCUGCUCUCCCCUGAGGCCCUGGGAGGGCGCGCAGCUUGCCCUAAGAUGGACCAGGGCUGACGUCUCAACCUAGGCUGAUGGGCUUCAGGGUCAGCCCUUCUCCUCCUCAUACAAGAGUCUGCUGAGGCGGGGAGCCGGGGCUGGAUUACCAUGAAGUGCUCCUAAUUUGCACAGAGAGAUAAGGAGCUCAUCAUCACGGAGAGAGGGGGACUGUUAUUUCCAAGCAGCUGCUGCGAGCUGGUCCUAGAUGAACAAACUGAGGCCCAAGAGGACUUGGGGGCACACAGAACAGGAAUGGUUGGGCAGGGAUUGGAAGCAAGUCUGGCUGACGGCGGCUCCCUGGGCUCUGGACCACUGGGGAUGCCCGUGUGUCUAUCUGCUCUGGGGAAGAGCCGUGAGCAAGGGCAAACGUGCUGCUGGCCUGCUCAGACCUUCAGCAACCUGGGGCAGUCCUCGUCACGGUCUGCACUGUGAUGCCGAGUGUGAACUCAUCACAUCUCCCGGAGGACUUUGGAGAGACUCUCAACGGACAAGUGACAACGCCAAGAACCAACAACGGCAGAGGCGAUUUUCACGUCACGACGCAAACAUGCAGCCUAGGAUCUGGAAACAGAUACUCACGAAGGAAGAAAUGUUAGUGAAGAUUGAAGAAGUACGACGCUGGACAAGAAGGCUCAUCCAGGAGCAAAGAGAAAUGUAGAAUUCUACGGCCGAAGGACUCCGAAGACAAGUGCGAAGGUACAAGCCACGAGAUAAAAUCAGUUAUUGGCACAGCAUUGCUGUGAAUCUGUACGUACCUUAAAUGUGUUCAAAUACUUUGCAUUCUGCA